rnacentral:rRNA from 1 species
UACGAGAGGCCCAAACGUUAUUCGGAUUUACUGGGCUUAAAGAGUUCGUAGGCGGUCCGGAAAGUUGGGUGUGAAAGCCCUCGGCUCAACCGAGGAAUUGCGCUCAAAACUACCAGACUUGAGGAGGAUAGAGGUAAGCGGAACUGAUGGUGGAGCGGUGAAAUGCGUUGAUAUCAUCAGGAACACCGGAGGCGAAGGCGGCUUACUGGGUCCUUUCUGACGCUGAGGAACGAAAGCUAGGGGAGCAAACGGG